rnacentral:rRNA from 1 species
GAUGAACGCUGGCGGCGUGCCUAAUACAUGCAAGUCGAGCGAACGGACGAGAAGCUUGCUCCUCUGAUGUUAGCGGCGGACGGGUGAGUAACACGUGGAUAACCUACCUAUAAGACUGGGAUAACUUCGGGAAACCGCAGCUAAUACCGGAUAAUAUUUUGAACCGCAUGGUUCAAAAGUGAAAGACGGUUUUGCUGUCACUUAUAGAUGGAUCCGCGCUGCAUUAGCUAGUUGGUAAGGUAACGGCUUACCAAGGCAACGAUGCAUAGCCGACCUGAGAGGGUGAUCGGCCACACUGGAACUGAGACACGGUCCAGACUCCUACGGGAGGCAGCAGUAGGGAAUCUUCCGCAAUGGGCGAAAGCCUGACGGAGCAACGCCGCGUGAGUGAUGAAGGUCUUCGGAUCGUAAAACUCUGUUAUUAGGGAAGAACAUAUGUGUAAGUAACUGUGCACAUCUUGACGGUACCUAAUCAGAAAGCCACGGCUAACUACGUG